UUUCACAUCUCUUGUCUAUUUUAGGGUUUUAAAGCAACAUUUAUUAUUUUAACCCCCAUCCCAUACUUCUGGGUACAUCAGAUAAAAUUGUCGCCAACCUCCUGCUGAGGAUAGAUCUAUUGAGAAUUAUUUGUGUGGCAUCUCUCAGAAGCUCCAUUAUAGCCUCCAGGCAGAACACAGAAUACCUGUAUGCCUUAUGCGUCAUGAGCCGUGUGUUGUACCCCAUCAAGCUCCUCACCAACAGCCCAAUAAAGGAGACUCCUCAGCUGGGUAGAAGUGGUUAAGAAGGAAAGGUGAACAAAAUAGGCACAGUCUCUAGAGCUGUAGGCCUCACUCUCCACUGCGUUCUCUGUUCCAGACUUGAAAAAGAAUGCCUUUCUUCUCAUCAUUGAUCAAAGCGAUUUUCAUCAUUUCCUUGGCAUUUCCUCUUUAUUCUGAAACUGCUUUU